rnacentral:miRNA from 1 species
UUCCACUUGAUUAUAAUACAAGCAGUAUAGAUAUAAAAAUAGCUCGCUUUUUUUAUAUCUAUACUGCUUGUAUUAUAAUCAAGUGGAAC